rnacentral:rRNA from 1 species
AUGUUGUUUACUUGUCAAAUUGUAUGUGUGUAUAGAAAUGGAUGUGAGCUGUUUGUUGUCUGUCGCAAACCAGCUCCUGUUGUCGUAAAGGAGUAUGAAUGUAACAAGUCUGAGAGUGGUGUGCAUGAUCAUCUAAACGCUGAAAGGUUUCUUGUUCAUGUCUCAUCUUAUUGCCGUGAAUUUCCAAUGUCUGCGCAAACUAGGAACAGAAUGUUUCAUUUUGGUAAAAUUCCGCAUUCGGCUUUGUUCAUCUGGAUCACGCUGGUAUAUGUGAAGUCUGCCUAUUUGCGGCAGAAAAAACAGAUUGGCCCCGUGACACAGCGAGAUGCCAAUCACUGA